UGGAAAAAUUAGCCAAUAACCUUGCUCGAUCCGAUAAGACAAAGUUCCGUUCUGUGAUAAAUGCAUAUGGUGAAGAUGAUUUGGAUAUGGUUACUCGUAAAGGUGUUUACUGUUACGAUUAUACUGACUCAUGGGAAAAAUUGGAAGAACAGUGUCUACCGCCUAUAGAACAGUUUUACAGUUCACUGACUGAGAAAAAUAUUUCCCAAGAUGACUAUAAACACGCUCAAAAUGUAUGGAAACGUUUUAAAUUCAAAACUUUAAGCGAAUACAGCUUAUGGUAUAAUGAAUUGGAUGUACAUAUUUUAUGUGAUGUUUUUGAAGCUUUUAGGGAGCUCUGUUUAAAAACAUGAAAUCGAUUGUUGUCAUUAUUAUACUAUCCCUGGUAUGAGUUUCGAUGUUUGUUUGAAAUACACUGAAGCCAAGUUGGAAUUGAUAUCAGACUAUGACAUGUUACUUAUGUUCGAGCAAGGUGUAAGAGGAGGAAUCUGUCAAGCUUCAAAGAGAUACUCUAAAGCUAACCACAGCAAGGCACCCGUAUACAAUCCUGAAGAACCAAACAGAUGGAUAACAUAUCUUGAUGCAACAAAUCUAUAUGGUUGGGCAAUGUCACAAACGAUACCAACUGGUAACUUCAAAUGGUACGAAGGAAAUCUUUCUGUACAAUCUGUUAAAAACCGUUUAGACAGAAUAGAUGACAAAUCGGAAAACGGGUUGAUUUUAGAGGUUGAUGUCGAAUACCCGAAAUCCCUUCAUGAUCAACAUUCAGAUCUGCCGUUUAUGUGUGAGAAGAUUACCCCUCCUGGUUCAAAGAUAAAAAAAUUAAUCUUGACGUUAAACGAUAAAAAAAAGUAUAUUGUGCACCACUCAAUUUUAAAGCAGGCUCUGAAGGAGGGUCUUGUUUUAAAAAAGGUGCAUAAGGUACUUCAA